rnacentral:rRNA from 1 species
AUUGAACGCUGGCGGCAGGCCUAACACAUGCAAGUCGAGCGGAUGAAGGGAGCUUGCUCCUGGAUUCAGCGGCGGACGGGUGAGUAAUGCCUAGGAAUCUGCCUGGUAGUGGGGGAUAACGUCCGGAAACGGGCGCUAAUACCGCAUACGUCCUGAGGGAGAAAGUGGGGGAUCUUCGGACCUCACGCUAUCAGAUGAGCCUAGGUCGGAUUAGCUAGUUGGUGGGGUAAAGGCCUACCAAGGCGACGAUCCGUACUGGUCUGAGAGGAUGAUCAGUCACACUGGAACUGAGACACGGUCCAGACUCCUACGGGAGGCAGCAGUGGGGAAUAUUGGACAAUGGGCGAAAGCCUGAUCCAGCCAUGCCGCGUGUGUGAAGAAGGUCUUCGGAUUGUAAAGCACUUUAAGUUGGGAGGAAGGGCAGUAAGUUAAUACCUUGCUGUUUUGACGUUACCAACAGAAUAAGCACCGGCUAACUUCGU